CAGUCGCCGCGGUAAGGCAGAGGGUGCAAACGUUGUUCGGAAUUACUGGGCGUAAAGCGAGUGUAGGCGGUUCGGUAAGUCGGAUGUGAAAGCCCCGGGCUCAACCCGGGAAGUGCACUCGAUACUACCAAGCUAGAGUACUGGAGAGGUUGGUGGAAUUCUCGGUGUAGAGGUGAAAUUCGUAGAUAUCGAGAGGAACACCGGUGGCGAAGGCGGCCAACUGGACAGAUACUGACGCUGAGACUCGAAAGCGUGGGGAGCAAACAGGAUUAGAUACCCCCGUAGUCCCUGUCUCUUAUAC
rnacentral:rRNA from 1 species